UGCAAUGAAUUGGACACACCCAGUAUAGGAAAAGGCAAGUGAACUUUGGAAUAAAACCCAGGCUGAUUUCCUUGUUUGUGACUUAUCUGGUACCUCUCAUUUUGAGCUCCAGCUUCCUCAUCUGUAAAACGAGAAUCAGGAUGCCUCUUCUGAGAGCUGCUGUGUGAGACACAUGGAAUCAGGUAGAUACACUUAACAGCCCAUCCCCCAUGUUUUUGAGCCAGGGUCUCCUGUAGUUGAGGCUGGUCUCAGACUGCUAUGUAGCCAUGUCUGACCUUGAACUUCCCAUUCUUUCCCUCUACCACCCAGUAUUCUAUACAUGGACCACCAUAUCUACCUGGCUUAGCACCUUCAAGUAAGCAUUAUCUUCAGGGCUAUUGAGAUAGCUCCUUGGGUAAAGAUGCUCGCUGCAUAAGUCUGGUGGUGUAAGUUUGAACCCUUGUAAAGGAGAGAAUCUACUCCACAAAGUUGUCCUUGAUCUCCACACUUGUGCCAUGGUAUGCACCCUUUGCCUAACACAUAUCAUGCAAAAAUAAUAAUAAUAAAAAAUAAAAAAUGUUACCUGUGGGGACUGGCGAGUUGGCUUAGCAGGUAAGAGCAC
rnacentral:lncRNA from 1 species